rnacentral:lncRNA from 1 species
CUUGUGAGUACUGAAUAGACUUGCUACAAUUAGACGAUUUUAAUUUUGAAAUUAUUACUCCCCGACCUUAGUAGCAAUGUACCAACUUCACCUACACACAUAGGAUAUUCAUUUCUCAACUCAUCAUCCGUAUUCACGAGGCUUGCAGCUGCUAUAUAGUAAGACUUAUAACAGUCACCAGUGUCUGAGCAGAAAGUUGAUGAACCAGCGGUAUGCCAAAGAACGUCGCGUCCUUUUU